UAUCUACUCCCUCCAUUCGGAAUUAGUUGGCGCAUAAAUGGAUGUAUCUAGAUGUAUUUUAGUUCUAGAUACAUCCAUUUCUGAGACAAGUAAUUCCAAACGGAGGGAGUAACAG
rfam:Triticum aestivum genome assembly, contig: Triticum_aestivum_CS42_TGACv1_scaffold_580454_7BL